rnacentral:rRNA from 1 species
UACGUAGGGGGCAAGCGUUGUCCGGAAUUAUUGGGCGUAAAGAGCGUGUAGGCGGUCCGGUAAGUCCGCUGUGAAAGUCCAGGGCUCAACCCUGGAAUGCCGGUGGAUACUGCCGGGCUAGAGUCCGGAAGAGGCGAGUGGAAUUCCUGGUGUAGCGGUGAAAUGCGCAGAUAUCAGGAGGAACACCGAUGGCGAAGGCAGCUCGCUGGGACGGUACUGACGCUGAGGUGCGAAAGCGUGGGGAGCAAACAGG